rnacentral:lncRNA from 12 species
AUUUCAGUGGUUAUGCAUUUGAGGUGUUGAAGGAUGCAAGGAAUCUCUCAUUGCACGGACCCUCUGUGUGUUACAAGCCCUUCUAAUAAUUUAAUCUGCUUGGACAGCAGCCCAUACUGGUGAAGUGUCUUGACUUAUCUAAAGAGGACAGGGAAGAAUACCAUUUUCCCCAGAAUUUCUGGUACAUGGAUGAUGAUCAAUAAAUACUUAAAAUUGUGCUGAAGACAACAUGUCUCUUUAAGAACAUAUACCUUCCAGGACUCCUUUGAAGCUAGAGUGGCUACAACCUCAGUCUGGACAAAGAUAUAGAUUAUGGUGAAAGAACAGUUUGUCAUAAUUUUACAGAAGGC